GUUAGCCCACACCCCUCACUGAAACAAGGGGAAAGCUCAAAUGGGGUGUUGGCCCCCGAGGCAGCAGUAAAGAAUUUUGUGCAAUAUACGAAAGUAAGACACAGAGAGGGCACCUUUUCUAGUCCGUCAAAUUAAGUGCCAGCAGACGCGGUGAAACUUAAGGGCUAGUCUUAUAGGCAAAAGCGUAAAGGGUGUGAUAGGCCGCCUUAUUUAAGAGAGUAAAUGGAAUUUUUCUGUAAUGGUGGUAUGUGUAAAUAGGAAAAAGAACUUUAGACGUGAAGACUAUUUACUUCUAAGAUUAUAAUGUGUUGGCUAAAACACGAGAGUGUGGGGAGCAAACAGGAUUAGGUACCCUGGUAGUCCAUACUGUAAAUAAUGAAAAAGAUGUGAAGCAAUUCUAAAAGGUAAGAACUUUUCCGCUUGAGUAGUACGAUCGCAAGAUUAAAAUUCAAAAAACUUGGCUGUUCACUGUUUUGAUUAGAGGAGCGUGUCGUUUAAUUCGAUAGUCCGCGAGAGACCUUACCCAAACUUGAAUCCCUCAUUGACAGGUAUUGCAUGGCCGUCGUCAAUUUGUGUAUUAAACAUAAAACAAAUUCAACCCAGUGGUUUGUCUAUUGGAUGAAGUCAGGUCUUAUUGUCCUAAUGUUUGGGGAUUAGAUGCGCUACAUUUUUUUAUACAAUGGGAAACUUUGAAUGUGAAACCCAAAAAUAAGAGUUCGGAAGGUGUCUGGAAUAUAACGGAAAGUUGGAUUUAAUAGUAAUGAUAAGUAGAAGCGUUCAAGGAAUCC
rnacentral:rRNA from 1 species